CUCUGAACCAUUAGCACAAAGCCCAACGCAGGGCUCAAACUCAUGAAUUGUGAGAUCGUGAUCUGGGCCAAAAUCAAGAGUCAGAUACCUAACUGACUGAGCCACCCAGGCACCCCGAAGUGAAGUUUUUAAGUAAUGGAAAGGAAAAGACCAGUCUAGAAUUCAAUAUCCAGAGAAAUUAUCCUUCAAAAUGAAAGAGUAAUAAAGACUUUCUCAGACAAACAAAAACAGGGAUCUCAUCAUGUCAGAUCUGCCCUGCAAGAAAUGUUCACAGAAUUUCUUCAAGGAGAAGGAAAAUAAGUGAUAUAAUCACAAAUCCUUAUUACGAAAGAAAAGAAGAACAUUGGAGAAGGAUACUGAUAAAAAAAUAAUUUUCUUAUCCUUAUUGAUCUAAUAACUUUAAAGUAAUCAUUGCAACAAUGAAUUGGGGAUGAUUCCAGCAUAUGGAUACAUAAAAUGAAUGACAGCAAUGUUAUAAGAUCCAGGAGUAGGUAUCUUGUACAGAGCAUUCCCCAUUCCUACUUAUUUCCUAUGUCAGAGGUGAUGAGGUCAUGAUUAGAGACUUCAUAGUGGGAUUAGCAUCCUUAUAAAAGAGGCCUCAGAAUGCUCCCUCGCCCAUUCUGCCACGUGAGGUUACAGUGAGAAGAUGACCAUCAGUGAGCAAAUGAGCCCUCAUCAGACAGUGAAUCUGAUGCCACCUUGUUUUUGGACUUGCAUCCUUUAGAACUGCGAGAAGUAAGUUUCUGCUGUUUAUAAGACACUCAGUCUAUGGUAUUUUGUCAUACUGGCCCAAACAGACCAAGAGAAGCAAUACCUAGCCGUCCAUAUUAUUAUCCUGAAUAUGUAGAUGAGGAAUCUGCAAGUCAGAGAGCCUUGGUAAUUUGCCAACAUUCACACGGCCAGUUGGUGACAAUGUCAAUUCUUAAGCUCAGGACUUGUUUAACUUCAAGGUUUGUGCUCUUUUCUCUGUGUGGCCUGGCUUCCAAGGCUGUUGUUUCUCGGCUGAGCUGAUGGCACACUCUUAGAUGGGCUCGAUUUUCAGCUGUUGUGCUGUUUUUGACAUAUGAUAUGUGAGAAUUACAUAAGUAAGACUAUUACUUAUAAAAGUGAACAUUCCAAUUGUAUGUCCACAGCAAGUUUUCAUUUGACUGUUUUGGUAAGAAACUUGAACGCGUCUUCAAGUCUUUUCAAAGCUGGAACAACUGACUGAUUCAGUCAGAUCAUUCCCAGUAAAACAGAAAUGAACCACUGGAGUGAAAACAAUUACUCCAUUGAAAUGUCCUCUCUUUGUUUGGGUUAACGCCAUGGCCAUGUAUUUUGGUUAUGAAAAUAUCCCUUCCUUUCAACUUUCCAGGUUCCAGCUCCUCCCUAAGGAUCUUCCCAAACAUCUGGCCCUUGCCAUUACUUGUUCACUGUCCGUCUAGCCCACGACCAGCCCCUCAGAAACUGCGGGUUACGUGUCUCUUUCUAAAGCUCACAUCUCCCCAUGGAAUGCUGUACUCAGCUCUCUGGCUCUGAAGCUGCUUUCUGUCCUAACAACAAAACCUACAUUCAGACACCCAUCCCAAGAGUGGCCUUUGUGUCUUCACACACUGCGGCACUCACUCCAGGACAUUUAGCUGUUCUGUUAUCCAUUUAUGUGAAGUGACCUGAAGUACCUCUGGGGAUAGUAAGAGCAAGGUCAGAGCACAAUGGGCGUGAUCAGCCGGGAUUUCCUUGAGAACAUGGCUCUCUCUCUUAUUGUCUCAUCCUCAUUCACUUCAGUGAUCAUCAGCAGGCACUCUAAUUCCUGCUCCAAAGAGAAUUGUUUUAUCUCCGUUCUUAAUAAAAGUUUAAUAGCAGACAGAGCACUUUGGUGAGAGCUCAUGUUCGUGAGAUUUUUAUUUCACCUAAUAUACCAGCAUAUUAUGCACUUGAGUAAUCUGUGGGCUGUUGUAAAUAAAGCAAACAACAUAUAUUUACAGAACUAAGCAAACUGCAUUUAUGAUGCUACCCUUGAAACUUUGGCACUCUGCUCAGUUAUUGCUCUGCUUCUCAUUAGCUUGCAUCAGUGAGACGCUCCUCUAAUUAGCGAUAAACUUACUGCUAUUCAGCAGCCAUUUCAAAUACUGUUUGUUAUUAAAACAAAUACCUGGAAAUUACACUGUUAGUACAAAAAUCAAUCCAAUUUUAAGCCUAACAUUUAAAGCACACUUAACACUCUCACUUCUCUGGGAAACAUGCUUCAGCAGGUUUUCUUUGUACUGGGGGCCCUCCGACAAGCCAGGAUCCACUAGGAACAUAUGUGGAUAAAGAACUAGAUAAAGGCAUUUGCUCAAUUUUUAUGAUUACUCCAAAGAGAGGCAGAUGGACCACAUUUUGCGGGGAGAGGGAAAUGCUCUUCUACGUAUCCCUGCUUGGAUUUGGUUUUAUCUAAUCAAUGAACAUUUUUUAAAAAAUGUUUAUUGUUAAGUCAACUCUGCACCCAACAUGGGGCUCAAGCAUACAACCCUGAGAUCAAGAGUUGCAUGUUCUACAGACUGAGCAAAGCGGGUGUUCCCCAUCCCCACUUUCAUAGGAUUUUUAUGAAUCAGUGAACAUUUUGAGACGCUCUGUUCCAGACAUUGAAAUCAGAGAAGUGAUGAAGAAGAUUUCUUGACUCAUGAAACUUAAAAUACUGUAGCAGUGGGUUGAGCAAAGUAGGUAGACCUGUAUAUAUGUAAAUGUACUGCAUUAUAGUGGGAGCAGCUGAAUAGGUGGCCAGAGUUCUCUGAGACCACUGAUGUAUUUAGCUUCAAAGGAAGGUUUAAGAAAGGAUUUUCAGCUUUAUUUCGAUUAAAUGUUGGUAAUAGACUAUAUGGCAUCUGAAAGAUGGCAUAGCAUAAAUCAAAGACAACUGGAGUCAAUCCUUGGGUUCAAUACCAUCACCUCCAUUUGUUAGCUCUGUAACCAUUUUUGCCAUGUAAUAGCUGGGUAACCAUGUGCUUUGGUCUUCUCAUUUGAAACAAGGAGAUGUGAGUGAUUAAACGAUGCCAAUAAAACUUAAACCACUGUGCCUGACAAGAGCAGGCUGUCAUUAGCUUAUCCUGCUCUCCAUUCCUUUCCUCCUUCUCCAUCUGCUUUCUGCUCUUUCCUUCUUCACCCCAGACACCUUAUUCUAGAAUUCCAGGCCUUUUCACUGCCCUCCAGCCUUACCACUCUUGUCCUUCUUCCAUAUUCAAGUCAUUUCUUCUGUCAGGAAUGGCCUCCCUUUCCUUCCCUUGCUUGGCAUGUCAGAAUUCUAUCAUUUCUUUAAGAUGUCCCAUAAAUAUUGCUUUCUCAUCUAGGCCUAGCUUGAUCUCUUCCAGUGCACUCUUUCCUUCUGAAUUUUCAUUGCAUUUUGCACAUCUUUCUUGGCUAUAGUUCACAUCACAUUGUGUAUUGACGUUAUGCAUGUCUCAUUCCUUUAAAACAUCUUACGGGUGGGGUUAAAUUGUUUGAUAAGUCUACAAAUUCAGUCCUUAGCACAGUGUCAUAAAUAUGUAAAAACUAUGCCAUAACUAUAUUGAAACUAGUAUAGGUUCUUCCACUAGUUAAAUAAAACUUUAGGUGUUCUUGGAUUUAAAAUAUUCUUAAAUGAAAUUUACCCAACUGGACACUACCAACAUCAAAAAAAUUGAAAAAAUAAGAAUGUAUUGAUUCACUACAGGACCAAUUGGUUGACUAAAUAAUGUUCCUUACUAAAUAUAAUAAUGAAAAGGUCUUUGUUCAGAAUCAUUUUCUCAUUAGACAAAGAGCUCAUUAUACCAUCACUAAAGUUUGACUUGAACUCAGGAGAAUUCUCCUAAUUUGAAAAAAAAGACCCUGUCAUGCAAUUGGACACUACAUAGCCAAUCAAAACCACAUUCUUAAGUAGUAUUUAAUGACUUAUGUGGAACAUUGAAUAAAAAUUAUAGUAUGCCAAAUAAGAUAUGAUUUAAGUUUAAUAUCAGAUAAAAAUAAAUUAUGUUGAAAUGUGGCAAAAAAAGUGUUAAGUGACUUAUAAAAUGCUAAUAAUUGAUAAUUUUUACUUUCUCCAUUUUAUUUUUCUGUCUGUAUGUGUUUUAGAGAGACAGAGAGAGAGCAUGCGAGCAGGGAAGAGAGAGAAAGAGAGAGAGAAUCUUAAGCAGACUCCAUGCUCAGUACGGAGCCCGACACAGGGCUCGAUCCCACAACACCGGGAUCAUGGCGUGAGCUGAAACCAAGAGUUGAACACUCAACCAACUGAGCCACUUAGGCACCCCUUCUAUAAUUUUAUCAAUUUUCUAAGUAAUGCUUAUUACUUUUAUGUCAGGAAAACAGUGAAAAUGUAUUUUUAUUUAUUUAUAAAUUUCUUUUCUAAUGUUUAUUUAUUUUUGAGAGAGAGAGACAGACAGAGCACGAGCAGGGGAGGGGAAGAGAAAGAGGGAGACACAGAAUCCGAAGCAGACUCUAGCCUCUGAGCUGUCAGCACAGAGCCUGGAGUGGGGCUUGAACCAAUGAGCUGUGAGAUCAUGACCUGAGCUGAAGUCAGAUGCUUAACUGACUGAGCCACCCAGGCGCCCCUGAAAAUGUAUUUGUAGUAGAAGAGUAAUUCUCAAUCAAGGAUGAUUUUGUCCCCCAGGAGGCAUUUGGCAAUUUCUGGAGAUAUUUUUGUCACAGCUGUGGGGAGAGGGUAUGCCACUGACAUCUGGUAAGUGGAGGCCAGCAGCAAUGUGCAGGACAGCCUCCACAACAAAGAUUUAUUUGGUACGAAAUGUCAAUAGUACUGAAGCUGAGAAACACUGGAAUAGAAGGAAAGCAACCAAAAUAUCCUAAAUGAGGAAUUGCCUUAGCAAACUAUGGCACAUCUAUCAAUAUAAUGGACUACUGUGCAGGUCUUAGAAAGUGUACUGUCAAAAUAUUUACAGAGAUGACAAUCUAAUUAUUAGUGCUUUCUCACACUGAACAGCCUAUAUUUCCUCACACAAAAGCUCUCCAGUAUGUUCUAAGUUCUAUUAUUCUUUGUUACAUCCAUGAUCUUCUUCUGUUCCUAACAAGGAGGAGAAUUCUUUGGGGAAAAGGUCAGCACUUAUUUACCAUUUCCCUCAACACACCUUACACAGUGUUGGUGCAAGGAAGGAAAACUGCAGUUAUUAUGCAGUGUAUUGGCUCCCUUUGGUUGAAGACGCUGAAUUACCUGGAGGGAAAACAGCCCUGGUUGAGAUAAAGCUACAGAAGAGAAAGAGGAACGACCUGGGAGCCACUGGGAACCAAUGUCAGGCCAUGACGACAGGAGGUUGCUAUGAACAGAGCCCACCCGAAGAGGCAGAACUGAGGAGAGAGACUCGGACUCUGGUCACAGCAUUUGAACUGCCAAAGCAAGCUUCUUUGAAAGGAUAAAAGAAAAAGCAAGAUGGAAAUGAAACAAAUAUGCGUGUCAGAACUUCACUCAUUCAUUAAUGAUGUUUUAUAGCAUGUAACUGUGUUAAGGAAGAUUGAUAAACCUAAUAAACUUAUAUAUAAACCUAUCAGUAAAGGAUUAUAGAGAGGAAAUUCAACUUCACUCUGGAGUACUUGUUAUAUCUCUUCCGGAACUUCAAGUUACAGCAUGUUAUGACUGUGAAGCAUCUCCUCAGUGGUUUUUUGCUUCUUAAUAUGAAAGACUGCCAUCAAUGAAGCUCAGUAUUUUAGAGAAUUGUGGUUUAAGUGUUGAGUUUCCCGUCUUACUCAACUUCAUAAUUCAGUAAAUGUCUCAUGGGGAAAAUUCGCCCUGCGUUUGAUGCCUUUAUAUUUACAAUCUUUCACUCUAGAUGCAUCCCUCUCCUGUGGCAAAACCUGGAUUCUUCUCCACUAGCUACAUUCAAGAUUAGCCAAGGCUUCAGGAAUAAUGUUACAGAGGGUCAAAAUACUGUUUCCAAAGAAUAACUAUUGCUGCAUAAUAAAUUACCCCAAACGGAUCAGCUAAAACCAA